rnacentral:rRNA from 1 species
UACGUAGGGCGCGAGCGUUGUCCGGAAUUAUUGGGCGUAAAGAGCUCGUAGGCGGCCAGUUGCGUCCGCUGUGAAAUCCCGGGGCUCAACCCCGGGCCUUGCAGUGGAUACGGGCUGGCUGGAGGCAGGCAGGGGAGAACGGAAUUCCCGGUGUAGCGGUGAAAUGCGCAGAUAUCGGGAGGAACACCGGUGGCGAAGGCGGCCGACUGGACAGAUACUGACGCUGAGAC